UUGGCAUUAUAUGUGUCAGUUUGAAAAAAAAAAUCUUCUAAUUCACACCCACUUUUUGCAGAAAAAUUACCUAAGCCCGACAAUUUUCAUGAUUUUUUUCCUCAGUUUGUUGAAGCUGAUCAAAACAACAAUCAACAGAAAUUUUACAAAAAGAAGAAAAUAAGAAUGCAGAAUAGAAAUAUAGUGACUUUUUAAUUGAUGAAUUUUCACAGAAGAUAUUUAUGUUUUGGCCGAAACCAUUGGAUUUAUCCAGUUGAGAAUCUAAUUCCUCCAGCAUUGUGUGUCUUUCUGAAUCAUGGUUAUUUCCUUGCUGAGGGGGAGGAUGUGGUUAUAACCCCGACGAGAAUUGAACCCAUUUUUAAUAAGAAGAAAGUCGUUCGAUUUUCGGUAUGAGAAUUUAUAUUUUUUUGACAUUUAAUUUUUAUUUAUUUGACAAUUUAUUGUCAGAGUCAGUAGAUAAAUACUUGAUAGAUUUUUUUUAAGAAAGGAUUGGAUAAAGCUCAAAUUACAUAUGUAGAAUAAAAAGCAAUAAAUUUGGAAUUAUUUAAUAAGUAUG